ACGGGAGGCAGCAGUGGGGAAUAUUGGGCAAUGGAGGCAACUCUGACCCAGCAAUGCCGCGUGAGUGAAGAAGGUAAUUUAUUGUAAAGCUCUUUUCUUGGGAACGAACACAAUGACGGUACCCAAGGAAUAAGCCCCGGCUAACUACGUGCCAGCAGCCGCGGUAAUACGUAGGGGGCGAGCGUUGUCCGGAAUGACUGGGUGUAAAGGGUGUGUAGGUGGUUUAAUAAGUUAGAUGUGCAAUCCCUAGGGCUUAACUCAGGGGCUGCAUCUAAAACUGUUGAACUUGAGUACUGGAGAGGAUAAUGGAAUUCCUAGUGUAGCGGUGGAAUGCGUAGAUAUUAGGAAGAACAUCAGUGGCGAAGGCGAUUAUCUGGACAGCAACUGACACUGAGGCACGAAAGCGUGGGGAGCAAACAGGAUUAGAUACCCUGGUA
rnacentral:rRNA from 1 species